AGCGGAGAAGAGGAAGGGAAAAGCUCAUCAGACUCAUGAUCUGAAGGAAGUAGGUUCGAGUCCUACCUCCGCAA